rnacentral:rRNA from 1 species
UACAGAGGGGGCAAGCGUUGUUCGGAAUUACUGGGCGUAAAGGGCGCGUAGGCGGCCUUCUAAGUCGAACGUGAAAUCCCCGGGCUCAACCUGGGAACUGCGUCUGAUACUGGAUGGCUUGAAUUCGGGAGAGGGAUGCAGAAUUCCAGGUGUAGCGGUGAAAUGCGUAGAUAUCUGGAGGAAUACCGGUGGCGGAGGCAGCCCCCUGGGAUAACACUGACGCUCAUGCACGAAAGCGUGGGGAGCAAACAGG